rnacentral:rRNA from 1 species
AUUGAACGCUGGCGGCAGGCUUAACACAUGCAAGUCGAGCGGGGUGAUGGUGCUUGCACUAUCACUUAGCGGCGGACGGGUGAGUAAUGCUUAGGAAUCUGCCUAUUAGUGGGGGACAACAUCUCGAAAGGGAUGCUAAUACCGCAUACGUCCUACGGGAGAAAGCAGGGGAUCACUUGUGACUUUGCGCUAAUAGAUGAGCCUAAGUCGGAUUAGCUAGUUGGUGGGGUAAAGGCCUACCAAGGCGACGAUCUGUAGCGGGUCUGAGAGGAUGAUCCGCCACACUGGGACUGAGACACGGCCCAGGCUCCUACGGGAGGCAGCAGUGGGGGAUAUUGGACAAUGGGGGGAACCCUGAUCCAGCCAUGCCGCGUGUGAAGAAGGCCUUAUGGUUGUAAAGCACUUUAAGCGAGGAGGAGGCUCUUUUGGUUAAUACCCAAGAUGAGUGGACGUUACUCGCAGAAUAAGCACCGGCUAACUCUGUGCCAGCCGCCGCAGUAA